rnacentral:rRNA from 1 species
UACGAAGGGUGCAAGCGUUACUCGGAAUUACUGGGCGUAAAGCGUGCGUAGGUGGUUUGUUAAGUCUGUUGUGAAAGCCCCGGGCUCAACCUGGGAAUGGCAAUGGAUACUGGCAGGCUAGAGUGCGGUAGAGGGUAGUGGAAUUCCCGGUGUAGCGGUGAAAUGCGUAGAGAUCGGGAGGAACACCAGUGGCGAAGGCGGCUACCUGGACCAGCACUGACACUGAGGCACGAAAGCGUGGGGAGCAACAGG